UACGUGGCCACUUACUGCCACUCACUAAAGUAUUAACAAUCAAAGGAAGAAAAGUCAAUAAAAGAAAAGAAGAUAGAGAGAUAUGAAAUGUGUGGGGCUGUGCAAAAUCUGCAGCAGCCUCCAAUCCCCUUCAAUUUCCACUCACUCUUACCUCCCCACCACUACCAUAAAAAUCAUUAAAGUUGAGAGAAAGAAAAUGAGUGUGCUGCCCACCACCCUUGUUCCCCAUCUCUUUAGCCGCCCUCUUUUAAUAUCAACUCCCAUCAACCAACAACUCCUUCUCAUAUAAUCUCUUUUUAAGCUAGCAUUCCUCUCAUUUUCUUCAUUGGCGCAUCGGCAAUCAAACGAAAAGGGAGAUUCAUUGUGCUGCCAGAGGUAAGCCUAGGCUUAAAUCCCUCCAUUUCCUUCAUAAGUUCAGCCUGCAAUUGUUAAGCAAAUAAGCAAUUUAUUUCAGUUUCUAUCCAUUGAGCUCCAGAGCAACCAACCAAAAACACAAGAACAUUCAAGGUAUUUUUACAUCGGUAUGCUUUCUUCUUUGUUACACGCCUCAUUUCCCAUGAAGCAUAUGAUCAGUUUAUUUGAAAAGCAUAGUAGGAGACGAAUGGUAUAAUCUUUUAUCCAUAUAGAAUCAACAACCCAUGACUUUCACACAAGGCAAAUACAAUGAGAAUUUCUGACGACACAUAGCAAAACCAUGAUGCCUAGUUUCAAUCUAUAGCAUAAACGACAAUAGGAGCCAAAGGUUUAAUUACGGUACUGCACUGAAACUAGAAAAAAAAAACCAUAAUCUUGCUGCUUUUGCAUUUAAAAAAUACUAAAGAGUUAAGGGCCGAACCUCAACUGCUGGAACGAAGAAGGAAAACGGCGAACUCUCGUCGUCUUGCCUGCAUCGGAAAGAAGGGCUGACAGCCCGACGGGGACGACGACGACGGUCGGGACAGGGCGAACUCGCCCAACCUCAUCAGGGCCCCGAACAGCAGCUGCCCGGCGACGAGCUGAGACUUGUGCGCAGCAGCAGCGUCCAGGGGCAGCAGCGACGCGGUGAGAGGCGUAGGCCUUCUUACUCCAGUCGCCGGAGGAGAGAAUCGCCGGAGGCAGCUGACGCCGAUCAGAUCAGAGCCGAGCAGGGGCUCGAGUGCAGCAACCGCGGACGCUCGACAGCGGCGUCCUUCCCUUUUCUGAAAUCUAGGGCUCGACGUCGGAGAGGGAUAGGAGGACGGGAGUUGGACGGCGCCACUCCCAGACGACGACCGCUCGCCGGAUUCCAGACGGAGGUGCGACAGCGGCGAUGAUUUCCAGAGUUAGGGCUCGGCUAGGUUCUGCGAUGAAGAGAGAGAGCAACGCCGGUGUUUGACGCGUCGCCGAUCGAAGCUGAUCGGAGCAGAUGACGGCUGAACGGCCGGAGUAGGCGCAGCCGACCAGAAUUUGGCAGAGAGAGAGAGAGAUCGGCUUUGAAGAAGAAGGAAGAGCGGCCCCCUUGAGAAUGAGAGAGAGAUCGAGAGUUUAGAAAGAGAGAGAGAUUGGGCUAUGUUUUGGGCUUACCCUAUUUUUUUUUAAUCAUUUGGGCUUUCUUUUAUUUAAUUGUUGGGCCUAUUUUCUUAUGUUAUUUGGGCCGAUGCAUUUUAUGUUGGGCUUGAGUUGUUCUGUUGGGCCGAAAAUGUAGAAGGAAAGUGAAUGGGCUUAAGUCAGUUUGGGCUUGAGUUUUGGGGCUAUUUUUGUUGGGCUCGUUUAAAUGAUUUUAAUUAGUCUGGACUGCUCUUUUUAUUUAACAUGGACUCAAUUUUAAUUAAUAGUUCAGCCUUCAGUUAUAUAAAUUUUGGGCCG
rnacentral:lncRNA from 1 species